CGGGGGGGCAAGCGUUGUUCGGAAUUACUGGGCGUAAAGGGCUCGUAGGCGGCCAACUAAGUCAGACGUGAAAUCCCUCGGCUUAACCGGGGAACUGCGUCUGAUACUGGAUGGCUUGAGUUUGGGAGAGGGAUGCGGAAUUCCAGGUGUAGCGGUGAAAUGCGUAGAUAUCUGGAGGAACACCGGUGGCGAAGGCGGCAUCCUGGACCAACACUGACGCUGAGGAGCGAAAGCCAGGGGAGCAAACGGGAUUAGACUACCCCGGUAGUCCUGGACCCUAAACGAUGAAUGCUUGGUGUGGCGGGUAUCGAUCCCUGCCGUGCCGAAGCUAACGCAUUAAGCAUUCCGCCUGGGGAGUACGGUCGCAAGGCUG
rnacentral:rRNA from 1 species